UACGAAGGGUGCAAACGUUGCUCGGAAUUAUUGGGCGUAAAGCGCACGUAGGCGGCAUUGCAAGUCGGAUGUGAAAUCUUAUGGCUUAACCAUAAAAGUGCAUCCGAAACUGCAGUGCUUGAGUACUUAAGAGGAUCGCGGAAUUCCCGGUGUAGAGGUGAAAUUCGUAGAUAUCUGGAGGAACACCGGUGGCGAAGGCGGCGUCCUGGACCAACACUGACACUGAGGAGCGAAAGCCAGGGGAGCAAACGGG
rnacentral:rRNA from 1 species